rnacentral:misc_RNA from 1 species
GAUGAAGAACGCAGCGAAAUGCGAUACUUGGUGUGAAUUGCAGAAUCCCGUGAACCAUCGAGUCUUUGAACGCAAGUUGCGCCCGAAGCCAUUAGGCCGAGGGCACGCCUGCCUGGGCGUCACACGUCGUUGCCCCCCCAUCUACUCCUUCGGGAUUGCGGGGGGCGGAUGAUGGCCUCCCGUGCGCCUCGUCGCGCGGUUGGCCUAAAUGCCAAGUCCUCGGCGACGCACGCCACGACAAUCGGUGGUUGCGAAACCUCGGUUGCCUGUCGUGUGCGGUCGUCGCGCAUCGAGGGCUCGAAAAAAUUGCCGGGCUUCGGCUCGACUUUCAACGCGACCCCAGGUCAGGCGGGGUUACCCGCUGAAUUUAAGCAUAUCAAUAAGCGGAGA